AGUGAACGCUGGCGGCAGGCCUAACACAUGCAAGUCGAACGAACUCUUCGGAGCUAGUGGCGGACGGGUGAGUAACACGUGGGAACGGUCCUUUUGGUUCGGGAUAACUCAGUUUAACGUGUGCUAAUACCGAGUGCGCCAUUCGGGGGAAAGAUUUAACGCCAUUAGAGAAGCACGCGACUGAUUAGCUAGUUGGUGAGGUAACGGCUCACCAAGGCGACGAUCAGUAGCUGGUCUGAGAGGAUGACCAGCCACACUGGGAAUGAGACACGGCCCAGACUCCUACGGGAGGCAGCAGUGGGUAAUCUAGCGCAAUGGGCGAAAUCCUGACGCAGCCAUGCCGCGUGAAUGAUGAAGGUGUUAGGAUUGUACAAUUCUUUCACAGGGGACGGUAAUGACGGUACCCGAAGAAGAAGCCCCGGCUAACUUCGUG
rnacentral:rRNA from 1 species